UUCUGGUUGAUCCUGCCGGACCCUACUGCUAUCGGGNGUGGGACUAAGACAUGCGAGUCGAGCGUCUCUAGCUAUGUUGAGACGCGGCAGACGGCUCAGUAACACGUGGCUAACCUACCCUCAGGACAGGGACAAACCCGGGAAACUGGGGCUAAUACCAGAUAGGCGAAGAUGCCUGGAAUGGUUUUUCGCUCAAAGGACCUUGGAAACAUGCUUUCAAGUCGCCUGAGGAUGGGGCCGCGUCCGAUCAGGUUGUUGGUGAGGUAACGGCUCACCAAGCCUAUAACCGGUACGGGCCGUGAGAGCGGUAGCCCGGAGAUGGGUACUGAGACAAGGACCCAGGCCCUACGGGGCGCAGCAGUCGCGAAAACUCCGCAAUGCACGAAAGUGUGACGGGGCU
rnacentral:rRNA from 1 species